GACUGUCUCCAGCAUCCCUCUUGCCACUGAGGACAGAGGACAGCCGAUCCCAUAAAGGGGGCCUUCGUUCCACUGUCGACUUGCUGGGUCUGCUUGGCACCGGGCCUCCGGGCUGCAUCCGACCCUCGAAGUUCCUGCUCGAGACUCGCCACUCGACAUCCACGGAAUGACAUGUGUAGAUCAACUUUUGUGGCAUGAAGUAUUUUCAGCUUCGCAGCUGCGCCGAUUUAGAAGGGCUCGUUUCUGCAUUAAAAUGUGGUGCUCUGGAGUUAAUGACCUCUACAGAAUGCCACCUGUCACCCAGAGCGCCGUGGGUGAUGGCCGAGAGAUGGGGAGGAGAUCGACGGGGAGGACCCGGACCGGGGUCUCCUGCUUUGCGGGGAUUGGAGACUGAAGUGAGAGCUGCAGAGAGGACGAGGGCCGGUGGCCCUGCUCGUUGUCAUCUGUCUGGGGGGACUGUCACAGGCUGUGCUCUGGGGCCCACGCCGGCCCACGCGGCUCACAGAACACAGUGGUGUCCCUUUUUAAAUGGUGCUUUGCUUACCAUUCGUGGACCCUCAGAGCCGGAGUUUGGGGCUCCAGGGCUACCCCAGAGUGCCCUGGCUUCUGCAGGGCCUCCCUCGGUGCCUGAGCCCCCACUCCCCGUCCCUGAGAGCCCCACGGAGUGUCCCCAGCUCCUGGAGGCUGCAGCUUACAUACUCUGGUCCACAGCUUUCCAGACCCUGCCCGGCAGCACGGACUGCAACUCCGGGCAGGCAGCACAAGCUAUCUGGAUGGCUGGGCUUUCCAGAAACCCGAGCAGCUGGCAACAGAUCGGGGCGACUGUCCUCUGCACCGUGGCGGAUGUGGUAGAGGGCUCUGGAGGCUUUGUCACGAGCACUUAUUAAAAUGGCUGCCAGGACCCAGUGUGCAAGCCCUGCUGUCUCUACUGGGUGCACGGGACUCCCGCGGCUCUGGGAGGGCGGCCCAGCUCCAUUCCGGCGGUGACCUGGGCCCGGUGGGACCCUGGGAGAGAGCUCUCGUCCCCCAGAACUGCCGCCUCCCCUCCUGUCCCCGCCAGUCUCCUGCUGUGGAGGGCCUGGUCCCGGGGCUCCUGCCAGGGCACCUGGCCGACCUUGCACAUCUGUUGAAGGAGGUGGGUGGUGGCCCCAGGCCUCUGUGUCUCCAGCUGAUUCCUGUAACUAGGAAUUAGGGGCCCUGGGCUGGAGAGGCAGAUGGGGGCUUGCGCCCCGGGGGCGGUGGGGGGGGCUCGCGGCCUGCGGGUGGUGGGGGGUGGGGGCGGGCUACAGCCCAGGGUCUGCCCCAAGUCCCCUUGCAUCCCACAGCCUCUGUGUCCCUGCCUGGUCUGCAGCGGGGUCCCUGCAUUGUGCCCCCGCCUGGACACACCUGCAUUGUCCGCACUGCUGCCUCUGCCUCCAGGCUGGCCGCCUGAGACCCCCGCCUGUGCUCCCCCUCGCCCCCCCCCAUCACGCAGCACUAGCCCCCCUGCUCAGGUCCCUUCAGGCCUCCUGGAGCCGACCUUGCUGUCAGGGUGGGACUGUCCAUCCCUCUGUCCUGGCCUGGCCGAGCCCAGCGCCGAGGCCUCCACCAUGGGGCUCCCCUCUUAGGAAGCUGGUGUGCGCGCACGUUGUCACCUGCACAGCCCGGUCUGUGUCACCGCGAUGUUCCGCUUGCUGCCAGGUCCCCUCGAACAGUAGCACCCUGCACUGCUGUCCAACGCAGAGGGGAGCCGGGACCUGGACUGGGCCUGGGGCUGUCCCCCAGUGUUAGAGAGCCUCUUCCUCCAGGAAGCCUCCCAGGAACACACUGCCCCCUCCCCCCUCCAGCGCAGGGCGUGUUCAUCUGGGUGCUGGCUGUCACUGCAAGCUCAUGUCCUCCUAUAUUAGG
rnacentral:lncRNA from 12 species